CAAUGGCAGCGCGCCUUACUGGGCGGGUAGCCAGCUGUGCCCGCGGCCAAUAGGCGUGAGACUUCUUGUUUCCUGGCAGAGCGGGGUCCCGGCACCGCGGCGCUCGGGUUUUGUUUGGGUCCUGGGUGGAGGGCCCGGGUGCCGGGGCCCAGGUGGCGCCUCGCUAGCGGGAGAGGGAGCGGGAUCACCGGCCCGGAGAGAGCUCUCAGGGCCUGAGUGGUGCAGGAGGAUGCUUUCCCAGCCCCACCAUGGAGCUGCGCUGUGGGGGAUUGCUGUUCAGUUCUCGCUUUGAUUCAGGGAACCUAGCCCAUGUGGAGAAGGUGGAAUCUGUGUCUAAUGAUGGGGAAGGAGUAGCGGGUGGGGCAUCAGCCUCCACCAGCAGCAUUGCUUCUUCUCCUGACUAUGAAUUCAAUGUGUGGACCCGACCAGACUGUGCUGAAACAGAAUUUGAGAAUGGGAACAGGUCGUGGUUCUACUUCAGCGUCCGAGGAGGAACUCCAGGGAAACUCAUCAAGAUCAAUAUCAUGAACAUGAACAAGCAAAGCAAGCUGUAUUCCCAGGGCAUGGCUCCUUUUGUGCGUACACUGCCCACUCGGCCACGCUGGGAACGCAUUCGAGACCGGCCCACCUUUGAGAUGACAGAGACACAGUUUGUGUUAUCCUUCAUUCACCGUUUCGUGGAAGGCCGUGGGGCUACCACCUUCUUCGCCUUCUGCUACCCGUUCUCCUACAGUGACUGCCAGGAUUUGCUAAGCCAGCUAGACCAGCGCUUUCUGGAGAACAGCCCUACCCACAGCAGCCCCCUGGAUACCAUCUAUUACCAUCGGGAGACCCUCUGCUAUUCUCUGGAUGGACUUCGUGUAGAUCUACUGACGAUCAGUUCCUGCCAUGGGCUUCGAGAAGAUCGAGAGCCCCGUCUAGAGCAGCUAUUCCCUGAUGCCAGCACCCCCCGACCAUUCCGUUUCACAGGCAAGAGAAUAUUCUUCUUAAGCAGUAGGGUACACCCGGGGGAGACUCCAUCUAGCUUUGUCUUCAACGGUUUUCUGGACUUCAUUCUUCGACCUGACGACCCCCGGGCCCAAACCCUACGUCGCCUGUUUGUCUUUAAGCUGAUUCCCAUGUUGAAUCCUGAUGGGGUCGUCCGGGGUCACUACCGCACAGACUCGCGUGGAGUGAAUCUGAACCGUCAGUACCUGAAGCCUGAUGCAGUCCUGCACCCGGCCAUCUAUGGGGCUAAAGCUGUGCUUCUCUACCACCACGUGCAUUCCCGGCUGAACUCCCAGAGUCCCUCUGAGCACCAGCACAGUUCCCAUCUCCCUCCUGAUGCUCCCCUCUCUGACCCUGAGAAAGCUGACAGUCUCCAAAACAGAGCUCACCUUGGGCGCUCAUCCAGCGGGGAUAAACCUGAGGCGUGGACACAGACUGAGGCAGCCGAGCAGAAGCCCAACAGCGUGUGGAUUACGCCACAGGAGUCAGCUGAGGUGGAACAGCCGGCCCCCGAUGCCAUCCCCCCCAGAGAGAGUGGUGUUGCUUACUACGUGGACCUGCACGGACAUGCUUCCAAAAGGGGCUGCUUCAUGUAUGGAAACAGCUUUAGUGACGAGAACACCCAGGUGGAAAAUAUGCUGUAUCCAAAGCUCAUCUCCUUGAACUCAGCCCACUUUGACUUCCAGGGCUGCAAUUUCUCAGAGAAGAACAUGUAUGCCCGAGACCGCAGAGAUGGCCAGUCUAAAGAGGGAAGCGGCCGGGUUGCAAUCUACAAAGCCUCAGGGAUAAUCCACAGCUACACACUUGAAUGCAACUACAACACUGGACGUUCAGUAAACAGCAUCCCUGCCGCCUGCCAUGACAACGGGCGUGCCAGCCCCCCUCCCCCGCCGGCCUUCCCUUCCAGAUACACUGUGGAACUGUUUGAGCAGGUGGGACGAGCUAUGGCCAUUGCAGCUCUGGACAUGGCGGAGUGCAACCCGUGGCCCCGGAUCGUGCUGUCAGAGCACAGCAGCCUAACAAACCUCCGGGCAUGGAUGCUGAAACACGUGCGCAGCAGCCGAGGCCUGAGCACCACUGUGAACAUGAGCUUCAGCAAGAAGAGAGGCUCUCGAACCCCACCCAGAAGUAACAACGGACUGCCUGUUUCCUGCUCUGAAAACACCUUGAGCCGCGCACGAAGUUUUAGUACUGGCACAAGUGCUGGUGGCAGCAGCAGCAGCCAGCAAAAUUCUCCACAGAUGAAGAACUCCCCCAGCUUUCCUUUUCAUGGCAGCCGGCCUGCGGGGCUGCCAGGCCUGGGCUCUAGCACCCAAAAGGUCAGCCACCGGGUGCUGGGCCCCGUCAGAGAGCCCCGAAGCCAGGACAGGAGACAGCGGCAGCAGCCAGUGACCCAUCGCCCUACUUCAAGCAGCCUGGCCCCAUCCCCAACUCCUGCUAGUUCUAACCUAGCCUCUUCACACAUGGGCUCCUGCCUACUGCCCAACUCACUCAGCAUAUCAGGGAGCAGCUGCUCAUUCCUGUCUUCAGGAGACAAGACAGAGGCCGUCAUGGUGAUUGGGAAAGGUCUGCUGGGGGCUGGACCUCGGAUCCCCUGUAUUAGGACCCGACUACAGGUAACAUUUUGGGGUCUUCCCCAGCCCCCAGCUAACAACUCUUGGCAGAGCCCAGCAAGGCGCUAUUCACCUGGGGAGCGGGAGGGAAAAUGCCCAGCAAUGCUUUACAUCCUUGCCCCAGAACCACAGCAGAGAGCUGCUCUGAUGCCUGAAUGCCUGUCUGUCAAGUGCCUCCCAUCCCCUUCAGCCAGGUCUCUUGCUUGCUUCCAGUCCCAGCAUCCCUGCCAGACAUACCCUCACCUCAGCCUGCUAGCUUUGGCUUUGCCUGCCCUUGCCCUUAGCUUCUCCUCUCUUUCUGCCCAGACCUGCCCGAGGAGACUACCCGCCAGGAGGGGUCCCGGAUUCCCCAGGCUAGGCCCAGGUUGGCCCAGGGCUCACCGCCGACUCGCAGAGGGAUGAGAGGCUCUUCGGGCCCCACAUCCCCUAUCCCCCAGACCAAGAAGAACAGUGAGCCGGAGCUGGGACCCCGCUGCACACCACGGCUGCCUCAGGCCGGGCCCCCGCGGCCCCGCUCCGCCCCCGCCUUUUCUCCUAUUUCCUGUAGUCUGUCUGGCUCCCAGUCUCGGAUUUGUUAUAGUGGGGGGCCCUUGGGCCAAACCGAGGUUUGUUUUGUCCCUAAAUCUCCCCCAUUCACUCUUUCUCCCCGGGUCUGAUGCCUUCAAGCCCAGGAUAUGACCCCACAAUGGGGAACACAGUGACAAAUGUGCUAGUCCCCUUUUUCAGCUGCUGAUUCCAUGUGACAACUCUAUGUAACUUCUUAGAACACCCAACACACUGUUCUGAGACAUUGCAAAGCAUCACCUUGAGACAGGACAAAGCAGGGACCUGCCACCCCUUCCCUCCCUCCACAGCAGAAGAUUUUGGGACCACAAAUAUAUAUAUAUUUUUUUAUAUUAGGGGGAGGGAGUAGAAAAGAAAGUAGCCCCUAUACUGGGCCCUAUUCAGUGGCAGCUUCUUGUUCCAUAGGGUUAAGGAAGACUUUCAGGAAAUAAAAGUUGUUUGGAAAAAUC